GGGGGCUGAAUAUUCAGGAAAGGGCAGGGCUGGCGAUGGCACACAGCAGCUUGAAGGCUUCACUGAGUCCGAUGAAGAGAUAAAAAAGCAAAGGCCCUGGCUGACCUUGAGCUGGUGUCCUUGGGAGAAGAAUGGAGAGAAGCUGCCAGGGUA
rnacentral:lncRNA from 1 species